ensembl:lncRNA
GGAGGUGGGUGUGGAUGUCAAAUGGGACAGCAGGUGCUGUCUGCUUUGACACAAGUGAGACACAAUUGUGUCACAGCUCUGAUUCACAAGACAGACUGGAAGUGGGUGUGGCAGGACUGAAUACCUCAGAUGACCCAGCUGAUGGAGUGUGGAAUGCUGGGAAGGGGGGAGCAGCUCAAAAAGGGUGUUUAUUGUCUGCUCACAUGAACAAUGAGGGCAACAGCCUCAUUAGCUACCCCCCUGCAGAGCAGCCCCUCUCCCCGGACUGUGAACAUACCAGCACACUCCUGACCCCAGUUAUGCUUAGUGCUGCCUCUUUUGAAUCAAAGUGUAUGAGAGUCAUCCCAGAGGCAGUACAAUCAAACACACAGAGAGAGAAAGAACUAUGGUUUCUUGCUAAUCCCGGUAAAUUGCCAGCUACAUUACCUUCCACUACUUCCAUCACACCUACUGAACCCCUUAACAAACCACCAGAAAAUCCAGCUCACACUCAGCUACAUAACCAUUCAGAAGUCAAAAAGUUGGUUUUACCUCAAAAUGAGACUCAGGUGGAUUCUUUUAGCUCCAUCAUGGAGCCCCUCAGCAUCUCCCAGCUUCAAGUGGAUCAACAGGCUGCUACGAUCUCUUUCCUGCGAGGGGACAACAAAAACACCUUGCUCAGUCCUCUUAAUGACAAUAGAGAAUACAACAAGUGGGAAGAGAUGGAGGAAGUUGUAGAGGAUGAGAAUACGGGUUUGCAACUGUCUUUCGUGGAACUGCCACAGGCAAAGACGCACUACCCUCCCUUAUCUGACACUACGACAGCUACGAAUCACACAGAGGGAAAACAAGACAUACAUCUCAGUAAUUGUUACACAGGUAUUCCUGAAGAUAUUUUGGACUCCUCACAGGAUCAAGAUAGCAAUCAGAAGCAAACACCACCAGCUACAUUCAACAAACCUCCUGCAUCACCACUUAAAAAAUCUACAUGCACUUCUGUGCAAGGGUUACCCAGUUUACAGGAUUUAAUGACAAAUGAUGCACAAGUUCCACCAGAAUAUGCACAUGAUAACCACGAAAAACUUCCAUUAGCUUCCAUUUUAACACCACAAUUAGAAAGUGUCUCAGGUUACACACCAGCAAGCCAGUGUCACACAGUAUAUUCAAAGCAUUCCUCCAACUCAACCACUUCACUCCAACCAAACAAUCUUGGAGAGUUUAAUGAUGAAGAAAGCGCCACUAAUCACCACGUUAGACCCACGAUCCAGCUGUUUAAGCUGGACGACUUAGACCACGCAAAGUAGGUCCAGAAUUCUCACAAUUUUUGUUAGUGUAAUCAUCCAAAAAACAUUAAAAUAACACAAACAUAUUCUUGUGUAUUUGAUAAUAUUAGAAUGAUGCACAAAAAGGGGUUAUUUUAAUAAAACAUUAAUGCAUAUUUUUUGUACCCAUUCUAACUUUAGGUGGUGUAUAUUCAAGGCCCACUGGGAGCAGCUAAAAGAGAUGGAAGCUUUAUGUCGUAAAGAGGGGAAGCUUCUGUGCCAGCAGCCUGAUAUGGCAUUUGGAGAAUAUGUCCAGCAGCUGGAGGAAAUCAUGGAGAAAAAGGCUUGGUGUGUACACAGCAUGAGAGCUCAGCUACAGCCAUAUCUGAAGCCCAUCACCUCAAUCCACCCACAGGGAGCAGACGAUCACAGAUCAACUAGUUGAAUUUGAGUUAAUAAUACUUAUGUUUUUGUGCAAUGUUUUCAGUGACAACAAUAACUGCAGCUUGCUACAUAUCGUACAUAUAUGGUCAUCCUAUAUGCUUUGUUAUGUUUAAGUAAAUUGAGCUUGAUGAGUUCUUGGACAGCUGUCACUUGAUGUGUUUGAUGUCAAAAUGCAUGAUGCACUAAGGGUUUUACUGGUGAAACGUACAAUCAUAUGUUUUUCUUUCAUGGUGACAGUAAUAUAUAUGGAAUUCUGAUUCUGCCACUAAAGAUAGUUCUUUCUAUCUAUUUUUUCUUAGCCUCUGUCCAUGAAAACUGCUGAUUUUGUAAUUUUUCAUUAAAGAAAAUCUUUGGUUUUAAUCUUAAUGCAUGUUUUAUUCACAGCACCACUAUCUGGACAAAGCUAAAUCUGUGUCUCUGGGUUGACAACUCAUAGAACCACGCAUUUGUUUGAGCUUGAUCUCAGAUUGUAAUAGAAAUGCUUGCUUAGCAGACUGUUUUCUAGUGUUAAAUUUUUUAAGAUUUCAAGAUUGCUGAUAUCUGUUAUGUUGUGAUCUCUGAAUUUGAAAUCUUCCUCUUUAAAUGUCAGUGUUUAACUUUGGGUAAUGUGUGCACAUUUUUCCACAGAGGGCAAC